rnacentral:rRNA from 1 species
GAUGAACGCUGGCGGUAUGCUUAACACAUGCAAGUCGAACGGACUCUUCGGAGUUAGUGGCGGACGGGUGAGUAACGCGUGAGAAUCUGGCUUUGGGUUCGGGACAACCACUGGAAACGGUGGCUAAUACCGGAUGUGCCGAGAGGUAAAAGAGAAAUUGCCUGAAGAUGAGCUCGCGUCUGAUUAGCUAGUUGGUGAGGUAAAGGCUCACCAAGGCAGCGAUCAGUAGCUGGUCUGAGAGGAUGACCAGCCACACUGGGACUGAGACACGGCCCAGACUCCUACGGGAGGCAGCAGUGGGGAAUGUUCCGCAAUGGGCGAAAGCCUGACGGAGCAAUACCGCGUGAGGGAAGAAGGCUCUUGGGGUGUAAACCUCUUUUCUUAGGGAAGAACAAAAUGACGGUACCUAAGGAAUCAGCAUCGGCUAACUCCGUG